GUGAACGCUGGCGGUAGGCCUAACACAUGCAAGUCGAACGGCAGCACAGUAAGAGCUUGCUCUUACGGGUGGCGAGUGGCGGACGGGUGAGGAAUACAGCGGAAUCUACUUUUUCGUGGGGGAUAACGUAGGGAAACUUACGCUAAUACCGCAUACGACCUACGGGUGAAAGCAGGGGAUCUUCGGACCUUGCGCGAUUGAAUGAGCCGAUGUCGGAUUAGCUAGUUGGCGGGGUAAAGGCCCACCAAGGCGACGAUCCGUAGCUGGUCUGAGAGGAUGAUCAGCCACACUGGAACUGAGACACGGUCCAGACUCCUACGGGAGGCAGCAGUGGGGAAUAUUGGACAAUGGGCGCAAGCCUGAUCCAGCCAUACCGCGUGGGUGAAGAAGGCCUUCGGGUUGUAAAGCCCUUUUGUUGGGAAAGAAAAGCAGCAGGUUAAUACCCCGCUGUUCUGACGGUACCCAAAGAAUAAGCACCGGCUAACUUCGUG
rnacentral:rRNA from 1 species